AGAGAUGUGUGAUGACGCAUAUCAAUAAGCGGAGGAAAAGAAACUAACAAGGAUUCCCUUAGUAACGGCGAGUGAAGCGGGAAGAGCUCAAAUUUGAAAUCUUCAAGGUUCUACCUUGACGAAUUGUAGUUUAUAGAAGUGUUUUCUGUUAGUAGAGUGGCAAAAGUUCUUUGGAAUAGGACAUCAUAGAGGGUGAGAAUCCCGUAUUUGGUCAUUCUUUCUAGCUUUGUGAUACACUUUCAACGAGUCGGAUUGUUUGGGAAUGCAGUCCAAAAUGGGUGGUAAAUUUCAUCUAAAGCUAAAUAUUGGCGAGAGACCGAUAGCGAACAAGUACCGUGAGGGAAAGAUGAAAAGAACUUUGAAAAGAGAGUUAAACAGUACGUGAAAUUGUCAAAAGGGAAGCGUUUGACACCAGUGUUGUUUUUCCGAAAAUCAAUUACGAAUGCUUUAUUUUUGAGAAGUUAUGACUUCAUCGGCUUGCUUCUCUCUUUAUGAAACUUUCUUAAUGCACUUUUCGGUUAACAAGUCAACAUCAAUUUCUUUUGUUGUAAAAGGGUAUGAGGAAGGUGGCUUUCUUUUCGGAGAAAGUGUUUAUAGCCUUGUACUUCUGCAAUCGGAGAGAUUGAGGUCUGCAGCGUAGAUCCUUCGGGGUUAGAUACACUUGUGCUAAGUUAUAGCUUUUCAUAGACAACUUGUUGACUUAUGUUAAGUCUUGUAGCUUACUCGCUUAUGCUAUUUUACCUACGCUUAGGAUGUUGAAGAUGUAGCACAUCAU
rnacentral:rRNA from 1 species